rnacentral:rRNA from 1 species
GACGUAGGGCGCGAGCGUUGUCCGGAUUUAUUGGGCGUAAAGAGCUCGUAGGCGGCUUGUUGCGUCAGCUGUGAAAACCCGCAGCUCAACUGUGGGCUUGCAGCUGAUACGGGCAGGCUUGAGUUCGGUAGGGGAGACUGGAAUUCCUGGUGUAGCGGUGAAAUGCGCAGAUAUCGGGAAGAACACCCGUGGCGAAGGCGGCUCUCUGGGACGGUACUGACGCUGAGACGCGAAAGCGUGGGGAGCGAACAGG